CUUCAUCUCGAUAAGUCAAUGGUCCCUACCAGGGACCCGGAAUGGAUAAGUGAAAAAAGAUGGAUGGAUGGACUACUGACCAGACAUGUUACAGGAUGAUUCCUUCUGGAGGAUCCCUCAGACCUCAUUGUGCUGGUAGUAAGGGGCUCUAAAUGGUCUACUUUUUUUGUUAAUCAUCAAAAAGCAAUAUAGUUGUCAUGGUCCCUGUGCCUUCUCAGCUGACUCGGUAUGGCCACAAGCGUUUUUUGUUGUGUUACGUCUCUCUCUCCUCCCGCGCUCUGCGCUCUACCGGGGCGGAGUCAUGGCGACUCCAGCCCCUGGCUCGAACACCUGCAAACGAUCAUCUCAUCAUCACGCUCACUACUUAAGGCGGCGGCUGAAAAUGCGUCAUCGCUGGAUUAUUGUGUAACGCUCGAUUCAAGCUAUUUCUGUUUCAUUCGUGCUGUGACUUACCUGCUCUCUUCUCCCUGUGCCAGACUCAACUUACCAGCCUGAGGACCGCCGUUUUGUGACAGUCCUAGAGUUUCAGUGGGGUCCGUGCAGAGACCAGCCAGAUGUCAACCAGCAGAAACUUGCAGCUCUGCUUCAGAGAUCCAACUGCAGGGUGAAGGAAAUCACGGCCAAAGCUGCUCUUGCUAAAACUCAACGUG